AUAAGAUUGGUCCUGUGUGCAUGAUUGUUGAAGCUGUGUGAUGGGUACAUGCGGGUACUCUCUACUUUUGUAUAUGUUUGAAACUUUCUAUACUGAAAAUCUUCAGGGUGGAGGGCAGAAAUACCUAUUUGGAAAGCCUAGAUAAUCAAUGCCUUAUUUAAAAUAGCUUCAGGGGAUGAUGGAGAAGUCUUUUUAAUAUGUGUGUGCAUUAAGACCUAGAUAGGAGCUUAACUGCUCCCUAUUAUACAACUAUCCUACACCCAGGGCUGGCUUCCUGAGCAGGCGCAUGGGCCCACACUCAAAAGGGCCCUGGUUUCUUGCUUUGCUUUCAAUCUCUGGAAAUUCUUCGUCACUUUCUAACAAAGGCGCCUCAUUUUUGCGUUGCACUGGGUCCCACAAGUGCUGUCUCCAGUCCUGCCUAGAUCUCAUUUUCCAGUCCCCUUAGGUAUAUCACCGUCUGGUAUUGGAAAGCUUUGGCCUCUGAAACCAGGUUGAGGAAGCUUUCUUUUAGGAAGAGCUGGGGCACACCUAAGUCCAGGCUGCUGGCUUCAAGCAGACAUUCCUCCCCUUCUUGCACUCUUCCCUACUUGAUAAAUAUGUUCCCAUAUAAGUUUGUUGUGCUCUGAUUUUUAGUAGAAGCCUUCUCAGAAACAUCCCUUCCAACCUCUCCCUCUACUCCUUAGAUUUCCUCAGGUUUGAUGCUUUGCUAGAAGGACUUACAGAACUCAGGAAAGUGCUUUACUUAUAUUUACCAGAUUAUUCUAGAGGACACAGCACAGUAACAGCCACAUGGAAGAAAUACAUAGGAAAGGGCGGUGGGAGAACCUGAGGACAGGAUCUCUGAAGGAAUAGUAACAUGGUGUACAGGAAGAAUUGAUGUUUGCUGGGAACCUGACACACUCCAAGCCUGAGGUCCCUGAGCAACUUCCCACCUCACUCCAUCCCUCCUUCUCCCCUACCCACUUACUCUCAGGUAGAGAGCAAGCCUCACACACAACCUGGGGAGAGUCCAGGCUGCAGUGCAAGGGCAGAGUAAAGAACUCCAGGCUGAAAAUGCAUCAAGUCGGGGAGCUCCACCUGCCUGAGGAAGAGCUCCUCCAUCAGACCACACCUCCUGCCAAACAGACAUACCUGGGGACCAGGUGAGCAGGUGAUGGAAGAGGAUACCAUGUUUCCUGUUGAAACAUGAAUGGUACCUAUCAUGGUAAAUCUAUUCAUCAUCCCGUAUCAUAGUAUUCUCUAUUCAGAAGCUGUCUGGACAUGGGGAGUUAUUCACUUGUCCUGUGGCCCUGGGCUGAGACAGUGACUGCUCAGGGUAGAACAAGAGUGCAAGGAAAAGUUGAGAUGGGAGAUAGCCGGCCUCUGUUUUAGGACAUGACAAAGAAGGAAUAAGGGACUUCAUGAAUGAGUGUGUGUGAAUGGGAAUGGGGUGGCAUUGGGAGGAGCUGCUAAGAAAAGCAAAAGUUCAUGGAAGAGAAAGGUGUCCCGUAUUUAGGCUUCCUUUGAUUCCCAGUUCCGAUUUUAAAUAUGACUUUUUAAAGAGUGUUGUUAAUAAUAACAUACAAGGAUAAUAUGAAGAGUAGAAACAAUAGUUAUGGUGUCCCAGAUCUGCUAAGAACCUUAUGAACAAUAGUCUCAUAUGUUUCUGAUAAUAGCCUUAGAAUUUAAGUGUGGUUAUUUUCUCUAUUUCCUUGAUGAGGAAAUUAAGGAAAACGAUUCAGUAACUCGUUGCCAGGGUUUCUUAGCCAAUAAGUGCUGGCACGAGGCUUCAAACCCAGUCGCAUCAGAUUCUGGAGUGCGUGUUCUGGCCAGGGCACUCCCCUUGUGAGUCUCAGCCUAGAUGCUUCACUGGAAGAUCUGAUGGGGGUUGGAGUGGGCCUGGAAGCUUGUGGUAGUUCUGAACACCCAGUGUCUUGAAUGGUCAGAGGAGGUGGUUCCUGCACUGGGAGAGAGAUUGUGCUUGAUGAUCUCUGAGUAGGCUGGCCACAUAAUACACCCUGGGGACUGAGACAUAAUGGGGAGGAAAAGGAGCUUUACUAAUCAUUAAGCUUGGACAAGGCCAUAGACUAAGAAUAAAUCUAAGAUUCAUCAGGCCAAAAUACGUGGCAUUCCUCAAGGACCUCAUGUCUUCAUGGACCUCCCAAUCUUCUUUUUUCUUGAAUAGCCUGGACGCUCUGGGGUUUGGCAUUAUUCAGUCCUCCUAGACCCUCUACACAUAUCUCCCACCAUAAAUGAAGCAGAAAUGUGGGGUGAUGGUGUUCAGGGUCUCUGGAGUGUGGGUGAUGGGGAGGAAGUGAGACUGCUUAGUGUGGGGCACUAUUCUGGGUAUGGAAGUGAUGAUAACCCAUGUGGGAAAGGUAUGAAGGUUGUAGGUUCAGGUAUGAAAGAAUGAAUAUGAACUAAAGGGAAUUGUGAGGAAAAUACAUACAGGUGGUCUUUGUUUUGCAUGUGUCCCAUAUGCAUGAAUAUAAGUUACCAUGGAUUAGUUAAAUGACACCAGCCCCUCAAUAACAUAGUUCAAAUUUUGGUUACCAUGGUAUAUGUAUUAUGGAUAGUUACAUAAAGAUGACCUUUGCUACUAGCUCUUCGGUCCACAAAUCAACAUGUAAAUAAUUUAUGCUUAUCAAUCAGUUAUCAAUCAUGUCAUUUCUUUCAAAGUCUGGCACUGUGCCUCUGUUCAUUAGUUCACUCACAGACAACAAAGCAUUUAGGUGUGUUGCUUCCUUGUCUCCUGGGAACAUAUUCACAUGAUUCAGGAACUCUCGGAUAGACUGCAUGAUACCAAGAGUGCAAAGGGUAAAAUGUUGGAAGCUGAUCCAAACAUAGAAAGAAGUAUAGCAAUCUAUUCAGGGAGUGAAUAAAAUACCUAGGAAUCCAACUUACAGGGGAUGUGAAGGACCUCUUCAAGGAGAACUACAAACCACUGCUCAAUGAAAUAAAAGAGGACACAAACAAAUGGAAGAAAAUUCCAUCCUCAUGGAUAGAAAGAAUUAAUAUUGUGAAAAUGGCCAUACUGCCCAAGGUAAUUUAUAGAUUCAAUGCAAUCCCUAUCAAGUUACCAAUGACUUUUUUCACAGAAUUGGAAAAAACUACUUUAAAGUUCAUAUGGAACCAAAAAAGAGCCCGCAUUCCCAAGACAAUCCUAAGCAAAAAUAACAAAGCUGGAAGCAUCACACUACCUGACUUCAAACUAUACUACAAGGCUACAGUAACCAAAACAGCAUGGUACUGGUACCAAAACAGAGAUAUAAACCAAUGGAACAGAAUAGAGCCCUCGGAAUCUGGGAGGCAGCCCCACAUGAUGCUCAGGGUAAAUUUAGUACAUAAGUGGAGCUAAUAAUUUUGGUCUCUGUACAUCAAUUAUGUUCUUAUGCAAUAGCAGUCAUAAACUUUUCCUAGUGGAACCAAGCCCCAUAAAUGCAUAAACCCAGGAUUUUGUUUUACAAAAAACAGCCAGGACAGAACAUAUACACCAGGCUAAAUUGUUCCAUUGGAAAGGACCCACCACGAUCUUUUCCAGAGGAAACACCAUUAGGAUGUUCAAUAAGCAUAAAUUUCCACUAGAAAAUUUGACCAGAUCCUUAUUUUCUUUUUCGCAACCUCUCUUCCUAUAUUCUCCAGCUGAUAGUACUUUUUUUUCCAAAAUCACAUUUUGUGUUAUAUUUGUUAAUAACACAUUCUUUAAGUCUGCAAAAAUCAGAGAGGUGUUAGUAAGUUGAUGAGUCAAAGAAAUUUAUUCUUUGGCAUCUGCAAUAAUUCGUUUGUAUCCCAUUUCCAUUAUUUUCUACACCGUCCACAGCCCCUUUUCUGGCACAAUUAUGAUGGGGUGAUGUAGGAUUGGGAAUCAUGGGCACCCCUGGCAUUCCUCAGCCACUGUGUGAGAGGCAUAUGCUGAGCAUCCUGGUGAUGGGGGUAACACAGCAAAGUGAGUCAGUUUGGGGUCUGGGUACAACAUGGAACCACUUGUUCAUGCACCUCACUCCUCCAGUGCUGCGGUGCAAGCCUGUCUUCCAUGCACGGGGAACGGGAGCUCUCAUGCAUCAUAGCUGUGCACUCAAGGUGUAGAUUUCAGGCAGGCUUUCUGUCUAUGGAAGCAUGGGGGUUCUUGGCCCUUCCUCUCCAGCAGCUGCUUUCUGGUCCAGCAGACCAUCCUGCAUUAAUUCACAGGUGGUAUCAUCCUUUGCCUACUAGUACAUAUCUUCUGAGUGCCUGCUCUGCCCACUCAGCACGUGCUGUGCAGAGUGCUCUGGUUCACUGAAGAUCUGACUGUUAAGGUCUCUGCCAUGAAGGGUUGUCUAAAUGGAGGAGAGAACCUGCCACCCCCACCUGGAUUAUUUUGUCUAGCAUCCAAGCUGGAAAGCCCUGGUCUUGUUCCAUGCUCUUCCUCUCCUUGGCUAGAUCUCAGGAGUGCUGAGUAUCUAGAGGCUUGAUUGUUUUUAUCAAGCAUGAUGAAUUAGCUAAAGACAUUUUAGAGAAUAUCAGUAGAAAAUUAUAAUUUAAAAAAAGUGAAAAGUAUUUUGUACUCUAAGUGUCUUACCUGUCACACCCUAGUCCAGGCCCUACAGGUAGUAUGUGUGGAAAUUCUGAGCCUUCCAGCCUAGUGCUAGAGCAGUAAGUGAGAGCCUCUAUCUACAUAAACCCAGCUUGAUUCCAAUUCCUCUGUGUUUCAGCGACUGAAAAAUAAGGGUAUCAAAAGUAGCAGGAAUUGUUUCUUACUUUGCAAAAUAAUCUAUCACCUGUAAGGCCUCUGUUACUUUUGUUGUUUAGAUAGCAUUUGCUGUGUACUUGAUGUGUUUUUGAUAGACUGAAGACAUAUCUUAAGUGACAUAUUGAAUGGUAGUAGCAGAUACAGAUCCUGCUAUAUGGAUAAUACUGAAUAAGUAUUUGCUAUUAUGACUACUCCCAGCAUUGCCAAAACCAAUUCAGUAAUGGGAGGGCCAUGGUCCUGACUAUAAGCUCAAACACAGAGAGGGUCGAAAGAAGAGUGAAAGGCCUGGACUUCACCUAUGAGGAACAGGACGGGGCUUCAGGGAUGUCCUUUAUUCUUGGCAGCUCCAAAGGGGCUGGCUCUGUGGAAAUCUUUCCUGAGCCUGGACAGUGGUGAAACACCCACUGGCGAGUGUGUAAAAGGAAGCUUCUGCCCACAGCCUGGGAGCAGCUCAGUCCAGACUCUCCAGCCUGCUCUCAUCUGCACACUGAAGCAGCCUGUCUUAGCCUUUCCGGAGCACUUAGCUGCCUGGUUCCAGCCACCCUGCUGUGUCUUUCUUACCUCCCAGACUGAGAUGGACAAGUUCCCGCUCAUGCUCCUGCUGCUGGGGGUUUUUCCUCUUGUGUUCUUCCAAGGUGUGAGUGAGGGUUUGGGCUGGCUGGGGCAGGAGGUGAGAACAGGGGCGAAGAUAGCUGGCGAGCAGGCUGAAGAUGAUCUGGCCAGCACGGGAGGAGGUCAACACCAAGAUUCUGGGAUGAUCUGACCAACAAGAAUUGGAGGUGUCUCUCUGCUGUCCCCACCUCAACUCCUACCAGGGCAAGAGGUCAGGCCUCUUCCCGAGGUUUCACUCACUUGGGAAAAUCAAGGCUGGUGUGUGUUUCUCAACAUGGGGCGUUGAGGCUGUCUGGCUGGGAUUAUGUGGCAGAGCCAAUGAUUGCUCAAGGCUUUCUAUAUAGAAGCAACCUAGGGACAGUGGUCUAGUAGGUAGAAGUCACUGAAGGGCUUAUCCUAAACCAGUGUUUCCAUAGCAAACAUCCUGUACAAUCUUUCCAUGGCAAGUUUCACUUAGAUAUGUUUGGAUAUCAGAUACCUCUUUAGCAGGGUGUGGUGGGAAACUUUGUGAGAAUGCCUCUCUUCCUUGAAGCCAGCACAGUCUUUAUGCCUCUUUCAUUUCCCAAGAGAUCAUCAACCUCAGAGAAGUUGUAUGUAGAUGCUCUGACUGUGCUCUGCACAAAGGCACCACUGUCAAAGGGAUACCUUUUCUUUUAUUUUCAAUAAAAUUAAAUCACUUUACCAAAUCUCCAGCUCCUUAAGGAACUAAUGGACAAAAUCUGAUGGGAACAUUUCCACCUUCUAAGAUUAUGCUGGGAGAUGUUCUUAGGGUUAUUCUUUGCCCUUGAACUCCUGGGCCCUAAUAGUGGCCUAGCCCACCUUGGUCUCAGCCCAUUCAGCCCUGGGCACAGCCUUCACGUUUAUUUUCUACAGGUGAUGCCACAAUGUGCAUGGUGUGCAAGCUUUUUAAGAGAGGCCAGUUUAAUAGGCAAGGGCAACUGCACUGUGAACCAUGGCUCUGGAUGCAGAACCAGGGAUUUCUUCAUUUUUGCUGAGACAGGUAAUGCUGUGAGCCAGUCUGAGAGAGCCUUGCUGGGUGGUGAAUGCAUUCGGGGACCAGACGUGGCAUGGAUGGGGAAGGUCUCCCCACUUUGAGGUAAAGUAUUGUUUCUGGCACUAAAUGUGAAUGCCUGUCUUCCAGGUGGGUGGUUCUAUAAUCACACGGAAUUGAACUGCUUAAAUACAUGUGCGCCUUCACAUAUGUAUCUUAUGACCUGAAGGUUUCAACCUUUUGCUGUAAAGAUCAAGACUUCUGUAAUAGAAAUAAAGGACAAUUAAUGACCACGAAGACUGACUGACCAUCACUUCCUUGGCAGUGGUGGUUUGCCCUUCACCUCUUUCUGUGCCAGUAUCUCUGGUGUGCUCCCCCUCCCCACGUGCUCCUGCUGAGCCUGCAGGAUCCUGGAGUGCCCUCCAAGUAUCCCUCCUCACUUCUCUCCAGGCUACUGGCUCCAUCCUUCUGACGCCAAAUACUCUCAGUUCACCCUGUGAUAUUGUUGCGAUGUUUGUCCCCUCUAAAUCUCAUGUUGAAAUGUGAUCCCCAAUAUUGGAGGUGAGGUCUGAUGAAAGGUGUUUUGGUCAUGGGAGCAGAUUUCUCAUGAAUGGCUUGAUGCCCUCCUCAUGGGAAUGAGUGAGUUCUCACUGUAUUAGUUGACAUGAGAGCUGUGGUUUAAAAGAGCCUGGCACCUCCUCUCCUCUCUCUUGCUUUGUUUCUUACCAUGUGGCACCCCUGCUCCCCCUUUGCCUUCUGCCAUGAAUAAAAGCUUUCUGAGGCCUCACCAGAAGCCAAGCAGAUGCUGCUUCCAUGUUUGUGCAGCCAGUAUAGCCAUGAGCCAAAAUAAACCUUUUUUCCUUAUAAA